rnacentral:rRNA from 1 species
GACGAACGCUGGCGGCGUGCUUAACACAUGCAAGUCGAACGGAAAGGCCCUGCUUUUGUGGGUGCUCGAGUGGCGAACGGGUGAGUAACACGUGAGUAACCUGCCCUUGACUUUGGGGUAACUUCAUGAAACUGGGGCUAAUACCGGAUAAGAGCUUCUUCUGCAUGGUGGGGGUUGGAAAGUUUCGGCGGUUGGGGAUGGACUCGCGGCUUAUCAGCUUGUUGGUGGGGUAGUGGCUUACCAAGGCUUUGACGGGUAGCCGGCCUGAGAGGGUGACCGGCCACAUUGGGACUGAGAUACGGCCCAGACUCCUACGGGAGGCAGCAGUGGGGAAUAUUGCACAAUGGGCGGAAGCCUGAUGCAGCAACGCCGCGUGCGGGAUGACGGCCUUCGGGUUGUAAACCGCUUUCGCCUGUGACGAAGCGUGAGUGACGGUAAUGGGUAAAGAAGCACCGGCUAACUACGUG